rnacentral:lncRNA from 1 species
AAAUUGUAAAAACUAAAAUUAAACUAAUAUUAAAGGGAAAUGAAAUAAAAAAAAUACUUAAAGAAGAUAAAUAAAGAUAAAAGUGAAAAUAUAAAUAAUAAAUAAAAAAAUUUUAAACACCGUCAUCGCCGGAUGGUUCGUGAGGUGGUGAUGGCGAUGAGAUGUGAAUGUGCUUACAAAUCUGAUGAAGAGUAGCAUCAAUGUGCU